rnacentral:rRNA from 2 species
UCCUACGGGAGGCAGCAGUAGGGAAUCUUCCACAAUGGACGCAAGUCUGAUGGAGCAACGCCGCGUGAGUGAAGAAGGUUUUCGGAUCGUAAAGCUCUGUUGUUGGUGAAGAAGGAUAGAGGUAGUAACUGGCCUUUAUUUGACGGUAAUCAACCAGAAAGUCACGGCUAACUACGUGCCAGCAGCCGCGGUAAUA